GACGAACGCUGGCGGCGUGCUUAACACAUGCAAGUCGAACGGAAGGGCGCUGCUUUGGUCGGGUGCUCGAGUGGCGAACGGGUGAGUAACACAUGAGUAACCUUCCCGUGGCGGGGGGAUAACUGGAGAAAACCGGGGCUAAUACCGGAUAGGAGCUCCGGCUGAAGGGGGGGGGUUGGAAAGUUCGGGCGGUUGGGGAUGGAGGUGCGGCUUAUCAGCUAGUGGGUGGGGUAGUGGCCUACAAGGGCGUUGACGGGUAGCCGGUCUGAGAGGGGGACCAGCGACCCUGGAAGGUGGACACGGCCCAGACUCCUACGGUAGGCAGCAGUGGGGAAUGUUGGACAAUGGUCGAAAGCCUGGUCCAGCGAGGCCACGUGUGUGAAGAAGGCGUUCGGUUUGUAAAGCACUUUUUUCGGUUAUGAACCGCUUUGCCCUAUUACGAUGCGGGGGUGACGGUACCGGGAGAAUAAGCACCGGCUAACUACGUG
rnacentral:rRNA from 1 species